UACAGUGGUAUAUUUACAGAGUGUUGUA
rnacentral:piRNA from 1 species